rnacentral:rRNA from 1 species
GUGCCAAGCAGCCGCGGUAAUUCCAGCUCCAAUAGCGUAUAUUAAAGUUGUUGCGGUUAAAAAGCUCGUAGUUGGAUCUCGGCGGGCAGGGGGUGGUUCGCUCUUCAGCGCUACUGCCCCGCUUUGCCCGUGUGAUUGGCGGAGGUUUCGGGGUGCUCUUCGUUGAGUGACUCGGAGCGCCGUCAGGUUUACUUUGAAAAAAUUAGAGUGCUCAAAGCAGGCUUUUCACGCUUGAAUAUUCGUGCAUGGAAUAAUGGAAUAGGAACUCGUUUCUAUUUUGUUGGUUUUCGGAAAUCGAGUUAAUGAUUAACAGGGACAAUUGGGGGCAUUAGUAUUCAGACGACAGAGGUGAAAUUCUUGGACCGUCUGAAGACUGACUACUGCGAAAGCAUUUGCCAAGAGUGUUUUCAUUAAUCAAGAACGAAAGUUAGAGGUUCGAAGGCGAUCAGAUACCGCCCUAGUUCUAACCAUAAACGAUGCCAGCUAGCGAUCUGCCGAGUUUUUUUUGUAGGCUCCGCAGGAAGCUUUCGGGAAACCAAAGCUUUUGGGUUCCGGGGGAAGUAUGGUUGCAAAGCUGAAACUUAAAGGCAUUGACGGAAGGGCACCACCAGGAGUGGAGCCUGCGGCUUAAUUUGACUCAACACGGGAAAUCUCACCAGGCCCGGACACUGGAAGGAUUGACAGAUUGAGAGCUCUUUCUCGAUUCGGUGGGUGGUGGUGCAUGGCCGUUCUUAGUUGGUGGAGUGAUUUGUCUGGUUAAUUCCGUUAACGAACGAGACCCCCGCCUGCUAAAUAGCACAGGGAAUGCUUCGCAUUGCCUGAUUGCUUCUUAGAGGGACUGUAUGGGACUACCAUACGGAAGUUGGGGGCAAUAACAGGUCUGUGAUGCC